rnacentral:rRNA from 1 species
UACGAGGGGGGGCGAGCGUUGUUCGGAAUUAUUGGGCGUAAAGGGCGCGUAGGCGGUCGGAUAAGUCUUGUGUGAAAAUCUUCGGGCUCAACUCGAAGUCUGCACAGGAAACUAUCUGGCUUGAGUGUGGGAGAGGUGAGUGGAAUUCCUGGUGUAGCGGUGAAAUGCGUAGAUAUCAGGAGGAACACCUGUGGCGAAAAGCGGCUCACUGGAC